AUAGUACUGCAUAAAAUCCUCUACCAUAAUCUUCGUCUAGCUAGCGUUAGAGCCGAUCUCGCUCGUCUGGUCGUGUGCGAAAUCGAUCAACUAAUCAUCUGCCCUAGUUUCCAUCUCCUCCUGUGAGAAUCCAAGUUGGAACAAAUAGCAAACUAUUUUCGAGGCACUUGGGAAAAAUCGUUCGUGACCGUAAUAUGUGUCCGUUGGGAGUAUCAUCGUGGAAUGAUAUUAAGGAAGAAAAGUUGAAUCACAUGUGGGCAGCUAUUGAGGAUAAAUUUGAGAGUGUUGACAUGAAUGGUCAUCGUGAUCAUAUCUUCACAUGGAUGAAAGAGUUAUGGAACAAAUGGAGAGGACACUUGCAUGCAAAAUAUGUGAAGGAUAAGCCAAUUCAAUAGGUUCUUAAGAAUAUUCCAAAGGGAGUAGACAAGAAAGAAUGGUAGUGGUUAUUAAAGGAACAUUUUUCUUCAGAAAAUUUUCAAGUAUGCCUAGUGAUUUAAUAAUCUAUUUCUCUAAAGCAUCUGCACCAGCCUAGUGAUUUAAUAAUCUAUUUCGCUAAAGCAUCUGCACCCUGAUUCCCCUCCCUAGCACUUCAGCUGAAAAGUUGAUGUUUCAAGAGCUUAUGUCUUGAUCAUUUCAGAUAUACAUGAUGGCUGAUAUGAACUCUCGUCUAAGUUUCACUUAUUUAAGUUAUCGAAUUAUGUGUUUGGAUGCGUAGUUUCAGCUUAAGAAUCACGACUCAUGCACCAGAACAGGGGAAAUAGAAAAGUUAGAACUACGAUGAAGCUAUUAAAAAGCUUAGAUCAACAGAAUGAAUUCGAAUAUGGUAAUUCAAGUGGUUAAAGUUGGAUUGAAGAACAUGUAUUAAUAUUACAGAUUGGUGUGUUUCACCUAAUUUUUCUUGCACCUUUGUUUUCCUUUUGGUACAGUAAAAGAGGUUAUAAACCAUUGGAAGGAACUGACUUAAGUUACUGAAUCAUAGAAGCAAUCAGUCUAUAAUUCCAGGCCGCAUUCAAUUGAAAAGAUGACUAGCAGCUGAAUAUCCCUUUCUGACUCGUUAUCCAUCAACUUAAGAAAACUAGGAGAGGGGAAGAAAGAAAAUAAUGAAAUAUCUUAUAAUAGUAUUCUGGACAGCACCCACAGAUGUUUCCAUGACAACUCAUAGAGCUGAUAUUAGUCAUGGAGAACUCAUUUUACAAACUUUCUUUGCGGCAAAUAGCUUCAGAAAUUAGUACUAGUAUAACUUAAUAGAGCUGAUAUUUAUGUUGCCCGGAGUUGAAGUUCGAAUUCAUUUUAUUGAUCUAAAGUUGAAGGAAGAAUUUUGGUAGACCCCAACAAAAGUAAGCGAUGGUGUUUCAAGAGAGAACUGAGAAUUCAAAAGAGAUUAGUAAAUCCUCUUUUACUCUACAACAUCUUGAUUCUGUAAAAGAAAAUAAA